GACGAACGCUGGCGGCGUGCUUAACACAUGCAAGUCGAACGGAAAGGCCUCUUUCGGGGGGUACUCGAGUGGCGAACGGGUGAGUAACACGUGAGUAACCUGCCCUUGACUUUGGGAUAACUUCAGGAAACUGGGGCUAAUACCGGAUAGGAGCUCCUGCUGCAUGGUGGGGGUUGGAAAGUUUCGGCGGUUGGGGAUGGACUCGCGGCUUAUCAGCUUGUUGGUGGGGUAGUGGCUUACCAAGGCUUUAACGGGUAGCCGGCCUGAGAGGGUGACCGGCCACAUUGGGACUGAGAUACGGCCCAGACUCCUACGGGAGGCAGCAGUGGGGAAUAUUGAACAAUGGGUGGAAGCCUGAUGCAGCAACGCCGUGUGCGGGAUGACGGUCUUCGGGUUGUAAACCGCUUUCGCUCAUGACGAAGCUUUGUGUGACGGUAGUGGGUAAAGAAGCACCGGCUAACUACGUG
rnacentral:rRNA from 1 species